rnacentral:rRNA from 1 species
GCCUACGGGGGGCAGCAGUGGGGAAUAUUGCGCAAUGGGCGAAAGCCUGACGCAGCGACGCCGCGUGAGGGAUGAAGGUCUUCGGAUCGUAAACCUCUGUCAGCAGGGAAGAACGGUCACUGUGCUAAUCAGCAGUGAAUUGACGGUACCUGCAAAGGAAGCACCGGCUAACUCCGUGCCAGCAGCCGCGGUAAUACGGAGGGUGCGAGCGUUAAUCGGAAUUACUGGGCGUAAAGCGCUCGUAGGCGGUACGUCAAGUCAAGGGUGAAAUCCCCGCGCUCAACGUGGGAACUGCCUUCGAAACU